AGGUCCUGGUGCCGGAGGACCACCUGCUGCGGUAGAUGGACCACCUGCUGGUGAAAGAGCUGGUGGUCCACCUGCCGGAGAAGGAGAUGAAGCCAUAGGUCCACCAGCCGGAGGUGUGCUGACAACUGGAGAAGGAGAUGAUGCCAUAGGUCCACCAGCCGGUGGUGUGCUCACUACUGGAGAUGGAGAUGAUGCCGUAGGACCGCUGGUCGGAACAGGGGAGCUUGCUGGAGGAAUAGCCACUGGAGAUGGUGGUGAACCAGAGGGUGAUGGAGUGGUUGUCGUUGGUGACGGUGAAGGUGGUGACAAUCCACCAGCACUUGGUGAAGGAGAAGAUUUUGGUGUUCGUGGAGAUAUAACAACAAGGGUUAAUUUCUGACCGUUUUCACAGUUUUGAUCUUUUCCACUGAUGAAAUAGAAUGGCCCUGCUCUGUCCAAAGUGAACUCUGUUUCACCAUCUUCGAACUUCUUGAUUGG
rnacentral:lncRNA from 1 species